UCUAGACUUGUGAUUUGGAGAAAGAAGAGCAUUCUGAUCCAUUUCAACUGCUAAGCUUUGAAAACUGCAUAUGCUGGAGUGCAAUGGCACGAUCGCGGCUCACCGCAACCUCUGCCUCCUGGAUUCAAGAGAUUCUUCUGCCUCAGCCUUCUGAGUAGCUGGGAUUACAGAAAAAAAUGAAACAUUUAGAAACAGCCAACAAAAACAUAAAAUCAUCUGAGAAGGUGUUGAGGCCAGUGUACUCUUUCUUCCUAGCUCGACCAAAGGACCUUACAUGAAGCAGUUAUUCAGC